GAUGAACGCUGGCGGCGUGCCUAAUGCAUGCAAGUCGAGCGAACGGACGAGAAGCUUGCUUCUCUGAUGUUAGCGGCGAACGGGUGAGUAACACGUGGAUAACCUACCUAUAAGACUGGGAUAACUUCGGGAAACCGGAGCUAAUACCGGAUAAUAUUUUGAACCGCAUGGUUCAAAAGUGAAAGACGGUCUUGCUGUCACUUAUAGAUGGAUCCGCGCUGCAUUAGCUAGUUGGUAAGGUAACGGCUUACCAAGGCAACGAUGCAUAGCCGACCUGAGAGGGUGAUCGGCCACACUGGAACUGAGAUACGGUCCAGACUCCUACGGGAGGCAGCAGUAGGGAAUCUUCCGCAAUGGGCGAAAGCCUGACGGAGCAACGCCGCGUGAGUGAUGAAGGUCUUCGGAUCGUAAAACUCUGUUAUUAGGGAAGAACAUAUGUGUAAGUAACUGUGCACAUCUUGACGGUACCUAAUCAGAAAGCCACGGCUAACUACGUG
rnacentral:rRNA from 1 species